rnacentral:tRNA from 1 species
GCGGAGGUGGCGGAAUUGGCAGACGCGCAGGUCUCAGAAGCCUGUGUCGCAAGACAUGAGGGUUCAACCCCCUCCCUCCGCA